GCUUGGGGAGCCUUCCUGGAGCAAACCCACGAGGAGAGCGGUCUCCUUCCCACCUUGUCACCUGAAUAGCAAGCACCUUUGGUACUCUACAGGCUCCUCACAUUUCCAUUGGGGUGGAGACUCAUUGCCUGGAGGCCCCCAGUGGAAGGACAACCCCUCACUGGCCCAGACUCAGAGCACUUGGAAAGACACCCCCUGGGGACUCUCAAAAAUACUUGGUGGCAAAUAUCAUUUGUAGGCAACUGAAGGUCAGAUGGAGAGAAGGGGAUGGAAAGCCAAUGAAACAGUCACUACACAGUCCAGGCUUCCUGUUUUGUUGACUGUGAUGUUUAGGACUGGAGAGAGGAUACACUGCUCCUUUGCCUUCUUCUCUUAGGGUGUUCUCUGGUCCAGAACAAGGUCUGCCAGUUUAUCAAAACCUCAACAGCACCUUAUUCACCAAUGGUAAGAAGAACACCUGUAGGGAGCUGGAGCUCAGGAGAGAAUUCUGGGCUAGAGAUACGGGAUAUGAGAGUCACCAGUGGUGGCUGGAAUGGGCUACAUGUACAGAGAUGAGGGAGAGAACCCAAGACAAAACUGAGAAGUUGUAUCUUACAACUAAAGGAACAAGUAGACAAAUACACCAAGGGGACUCAGAAAUAGUCUCAGAGAUCAGAAGAGACUCAGCAGAGAAUGUUGUCAUCAAAACCAAGGCGGUAAUUGACUCUCCUCGAGGAAGAGGUGCAUACACCCUAUAGAGGUCAGAUGACCAUUCAAAAUUUGCACGUGGUGGUGUGGCUUCAGCGGUUCCACAAAGGAGUGAAAGCCUGAUUUCAGAGGGGUGGGAGUACAUGGCAGCUAAGGAAGUGGACACAGUACUGACUACUCUUUCAGAAAGAUUUUGUGGGAAAAGAAACUAAAGAAAUGGUAAUUAGAUGAAAACAUGGGACAAGGGAAUUUUUAAGAUGGGAGAAACCAACAUUUAAAAGUGAAAGGGAAGGGGACACCUGGGUGGUAUGGUUGGUUGAGCAUCCAGCUCUUGGUUUUGGCUCACAUCUUGAUCUCAGGGUUGAGAGACAGAGCCCCUCGUCAGGCUCUGCACUCAGCACAGAGUCUGC
rnacentral:lncRNA from 1 species